rnacentral:rRNA from 1 species
GGGUGCGAUCAUACCAGCACUAAUGCACCGGAUCCCAUCAGAACUCCGCGGUUAAGCGUGCUUGGGUGAGAGUAGUACUAGGAUGGAUGACCUCCCAGGAAGUCCUCGUGUUACACCCC